rnacentral:rRNA from 1 species
GCGUAAGAGCUCGUAGGUGGUUCGUCACGUCGGAUGUGAAAAUCUGGGGCUUAACCCCAGACCUGCAUUCGAUACGGGCGAGCUAGAGUGUGGUAGGGGAGACUGGAAUUCCUGGUGUAGCGGUGGAAUGCGCAGAUAUCAGGAGGAACACCAAUGGCGAAGGCAGGUCUCUGGGCCAUUACUGACACUGAGGAGCGAAAGCGUGGGGAGCGAACAGGAUUAGAUACCCUGGUAGUCCACGCCGUAAACGGUGGGCACUAGUUGUGGGAACCUUCCACGGUUUCUGCGACGCAGCUAACGCAUUAAGUGCCCCGCCUGGGGAGUACGAUCGCAAGAUUAAAACUCAAAGGAAUUGACGGGGCCCCGCACAAGCAGCGGAGCAUGCGGCUUAAUUCGACGCAACGCGAAGAACCUUACCAAGGCUUGACAUAUACAGGAAUAUGGCAGAAAUGUCAUAGCCGCAAGGUCUGUAUACAGGUGGUGCAUGGUUGUCGUCAGCUCGUGUCGUGAGAUGUUGGGUUAAGUCCCGCAACGAGCGCAACCCUCGUUCUGUGUUGCCAGCAUUUAGUUGGGGACUCACAGGAGACUGCCGGGGUUAACUCGGAGGAAGGUGGGGAUGACGUCAAAUCAUCAUGCCCCUUAUGUCUUGGGCUGCACGCAUGCUACAAUG